CAUGGGAAGGGAAGUUAUUUCACGCGGGCAUAGCUGCCAGCGACACUGAUUGAUUACUCCACACCUAAUUUCUCAUCUGGAGUAACUACAUCUGGAGCUGAGUGCACACACUUCGGAGGCCGUCACCUGUCAAUCAUUCCUAUAAUUGAUGAUUCGGCCAAUCCUGUGUCUGCUCAACCCCCUGCGAAGGAAACUUGUACUGUAUCCACUCAGAACAGCCAGCUGCCAGUCAAAGCUUGUCACACACAGUCUUUUCCCCUGCUAGACAAAAUCAGUCAAUCCUCAUCUCACAGUUCGUCCAUAUGGAAUCAGCCCUUCUGUCAAUCAGACAGCAGAUGACUGAAUCUAUAAGAAUGAAGGCUGAGGUUGCUAGCGCAGCAAGACCGAGGCGUCCCUGAAGAUCCUGGACUCUUAAUUAUGGUGAAAUAAUCGGUGUGUGCAGCGUAGCCUCGGGCUGCCAGCACCAGAGGUGAGCUCUACACAGAC